AGAGUUUGAUCCUGGCUCAGGACGAACGCUGGCGGCGUGCUUAAUACAUGCAAGUCGAGCGAGGUUACUGUUUUGGAUCCCUUCGGGGUGAAGAAGCUUUAACCUAGCGGCGGACGGGUGAGUAACGCGUGGGUAACCUACCCCAAAGUCCGGGAUAACAGCGGGAAACCGCUGCUAAUACCGGAUGUCUUUACCUUGGGGCAUCUUGAGGUAAAGAAAGGUAACGCUUUGGGAUGGGCCCGCGUCCCAUUAGCUAGUUGGUGAGGUAACGGCUCACCAAGGCGACGAUGGGUAGCCGGCCUGAGAGGGUGGACGGCCACACUGGGACUGAGACACGGCCCAGACUCCUACGGGAGGCAGCAGUAGGGAAUAUUGCGCAAUGGACGGAAGUCUGACGCAGCGACGCCGCGUGAGCGAUGAAGGUCUUCGGAUCGUAAAGCUCUGUCCUUGGGGAAGAAGGCGAAAGCUUGACGGUACCCAAGAAGAAAGCCCCGGCUAACUACGUGCCAGCAGCCGCGGUAAUACGUAGGGGGCGAGCGUUGUCCGGAAUUACUGGGCGUAAAGGGUGCGUAGGCGGCCCUUUAAGUCGGAUGUGAAAGCCCGCGGCUUAACCGCGGAAUGGCAUUCGAAACUGGAGGGCUUGAGUGUCGGAGAGGGUAGUGGAAUUCCCAGUGUAGCGGUGAAAUGCGUAGAUAUUGGGAGGAACACCAGUGGCGAAGGCGACUACCUGGACGAUAACUGACGCUGAGGCACGAAAGCUAGGGGAGCAAACAGGAUUAGAUACCCUGGUAGUCCUAGCCGUAAACGAUGGGUACUAGGUGUGGGUGGUUUCGAUACCAUCCGUGCCGUAGUUAACGCAUUAAGUACCCCGCCUGGGGAGUACGUGCGCAAGCAUGAAACUCAAAUGAAUUGACGG
rnacentral:rRNA from 1 species